GUGGUUGUGGGAGUGAAAAGGAGAAAGUGAGAGUUACGGUUGAGGGUUGAUUUACCGGUGAGGGGGAAGAGUGAAGAUGAAGGCUUGCGCGGAGAUGAGGAAGGAGGAGAAAGAAUCCUCUUCUUUGUUUUCACUUUAUUUUUCCUUUUCCGCUUUUUCCAGAGAGAGAGAGUAGACUAGUGGGUUUUUCGUCGCCUCCUCUUCCUCUU
rnacentral:lncRNA from 1 species